rnacentral:rRNA from 1 species
AUACGGAGGGUGCGAGCGUUAAUCGGAAUUACUGGGCGUAAAGCGCGCGUAGGCGGCCUGUUAAGUCAGAUGUGAAAGCCCCGGGCUCAACCUGGGAAUUGCGUCUGAUACUGGCAGGCUAGAGUCUGGUAGAGGGUAGCGGAAUUCCCGGUGUAGCGGUGAAAUGCGCAGAUAUCGGGAGGAACACCAGUGGCGAAGGCGGCUACCUGGACCAAGACUGACGCUGAGGUGCGAAAGCGUGGGGAGCAAACAGGAUUAGAAACCCUAGUAGUCC